CAGGAUGGAGGAGCUGAUCCAGAGGACCAUGAGAAACAAGUGUUCCAGGUGCAGAUUGCCUUUUUCCUCUGGUGGCAUCAGGCAGUAGAGGUCGUCUGGCUCCAGUUCAGAUGCAAGGAUCAAGGUCACAAUCGCUCGUCUCCAGCUGGAAGCACAGGAAAAGGAGAGGGAAGAGGCUCAGAAAAAGAAAGUGGCUUACCUUCUUGACGGUGGCUUGUUGAUGCGUCGCUGAUGCUGGUGAGGACUGGAGCGUGACCUUACAGGUUGUUGUCCCUACAGUCUACCACACACAGGUUGUUGGCAAACCAAACCAGGUGAUCCCCCUGCUCCCUUGCAUCCCAUUC